GCGGCAUUGGUGAAGGGGUUAACACGAUUGACUGUGACUCAAUUAUGCGUGGGUUCGAAUCCCAUGUGCCGCCCCA
rnacentral:tRNA from 1 species